rnacentral:tRNA from 1 species
UGGCGAACGAAGAAGGAGCCAUUAUUUGGCCCUCUCAAGGCUGAAACAGGGGUUCGAUUCCCCUAGGGAGCGCCA